GCUAAUGUAGCUUAACUAAAGCAUAACCCCGAAGCCGUUAAGAUAAACCCUAAAAAGUUUCGUUAGCA
rnacentral:tRNA from 1 species